AAUCCCUCUUAUUCUUUUUUCUUUUCCCCUCUUUUUGCUUGCAGAGAAUGUCACCAUGAAUGUCCAUUGGCAAACUGGAUAAGAAAGAGUGUCACAGUGCAGGACAACCUAGAAGAUGACAGACCAAAAUCAGAAGUUUGGCUGACAUGGAACAAGUUCCAGACAGGAGCAGCUCAUCAUUGAAGAUGCCAUCUCCCAACCCUCACACAGGAGAGAUGCUGUGUCUGGGGUCUGCCAACACCUGCCAUCAUCCUGCUUCCUGGGCAGCUCCAGGCAGAAGAGAAAAUUUGUUUUUUCUACUUCUGUUCAGCUCCUGAGCACAGAUAGGAUAGAUCCUGGAAGAUCACAGCGAGCCUCCCAGGCGCCUCGGCCUUAUUUCCCACUUUCACCGCGGCGGAGCAGCUGGAGCAGCAGCAGCAGCAGGAGCAGCAGCGCUUAUCUCCAGCUCCCAGCACUUCCCCCGGCGUGCGUGUGGGAGCCGGCGUGCCAUGGCCUUGCAGCGGCCGGGGGAGAAGCGCGGCCGGGCCAACAGGAAGGCUCCCUCGCCGUGCGCGGCAUGGCCGGGCCUGCAAUCGGGCGGCUGCAGGGAUUUCCCGUCCCUUCCGCCCGGGCGGCUGCAAGGCCGCGCCAUGGCUUCCUGCGAGGCCUGCAGAGCGUCGGCAGCGCCCGCUGGGCCUCAGGAAGCCGCCGGCCAUGAGCGAGCGGCAGCGGGCGGGCAGGCGGGGGCGAGGAGGUGACACUGGCCAAAACUCAUUUGUUUGGUGGCCGCCAGGCCGACACGCGCUGGCCGGGCCGGAGGAAAACAAAAGCGGGAUGUCUGCUUCAAAAAAGGCAGGAAAUGGAGCAGCACGGGGGGACGGAGAGACCUAUUGGGACUGGGCUGGGGCUUCUCUCUUAACCUAUUGUUUCAUUAUAUAUUAAAAAAAAAAAAAAGAAAAAACAGAGAGAAAAAAAAGGAAAAUAAAUUGAACACAUCCUGUGACCUCUUAUCA
rnacentral:lncRNA from 1 species